rnacentral:rRNA from 1 species
UACGAAGGGGCUAGCGUUGCUCGGAAUCACUGGGCGUAAAGGGUGCGUAGGCGGGUUUUAAGUCAGAGGUGAAAUCCUGGAGCUCAACUCCAGAACUGCCUUGAUACUGAAGUCUUGAGUAUGGAGAGGUGAGUGGAACUGCGAGUGUAGAGGUGAAAUUCGUAGAUAUUCGCAAGAACACCAGUGGCGAAGGCGGACUCACUGGCCCAUUACUGACGCUGAGGCACGAAAGCGU